rnacentral:lncRNA from 1 species
CGGAAUCACCUACCAUAUGACAAAAAUAUUAUUUUACAAAUGUCUUUUCACAACAACAUAAUAUGGAACUAAUGAUAAUUUGCUCAAACAUCAGAGGUUCAAGUUUAUUCUUCCUCGAACAAUAUAAAAUAUUUUUAAAAUAUAAAAUAUGAAAUAAAAAAUGAUAUAAUAAACCAACAAACCAUUUUUAUUUAGGAAUAAACCAGUACAGUAAAUACAAAAUAUUGUAAGAUACAAAUCAAUAGAUACAAGCAGUGUUGCAAUAUAGUCAAUGAACAAACCACAAUCUAUCAUAAUUGAUUAUGACUGGGUUGAUGUCAUAACGGACAUAGUCUCGACGUCCGACUGAAUUCACAAGUUCCAACCGUCAUCGGGGAUCUUCUAGAAACAUGAUCGUGUCAGUAGCAUCAACCUCUAGUGAAUCUCUUGUUUGUUUUCUUAUGGCCUAUAGUUGUAGCGACAGUAAACUAUGAGUUCAACCAAAAAAGUUUCCACUUAAAAUAUGCACAAAUUUGCAUCAAUGCAUAUUGCAAUAUCAAAACGCAUCAUUGAAUCCCUAUAGAGAAAUACAAUGUUCUAAGUUGCAACAACGAGAUGCAAAAAUUAGAAUUACUCGCAAUAUGCAAUACAUUAUUAAACGACAACAUACAAAAGAAAAAAAAAAGCCACACACACAUUUACUUUAAUACGAGUUUAAGAAGAGAACCAAAAAAUAUGUGAAACCUUUCAUAGUUAUUCCCAAAGAAGAAAAAAAAACUAAUAUUAAUUUGCAAUAACGAGCUGCAAAUUAAAAUAUGCAGAACUGCAAAAGUGAAAAUGAAAACCGUCUAAAGGGACAACAUCAACAAACUUCAAUUUGCAGACAACAACAUAAAGAAUAUAAACUUCAACAACAUCAACAAAAUAGUGGCAACAAUAACCAAAUAAUAGUAUGCACAUAACUAUAUCCAAAUGCAAUUGUCAACUACAAACUGCAAAAUGCAAAUGAUACAGUGACAAUAAGUUAUUUUCAACAAGUAUUUUGGUAUGAUAGAUGAAACCAUUUAUUACGACACCAAACUGCAAAUACUUCAGUAAAAUGCAACUUACACUAUGAUAACAACAAAGUCGAAAUGAAAUAUAAUGUAAAAACAAAAUACGCAUCAUAUAAGAAAAAUCCAAAAUAAAUAGCAAAGUGCAAAAUAUACAAAAACAGCAAAAUCAAAAGCAAGAAACCAAUAACGUGCUGCUGUUUAUUUUGCACUUUGCUGUUAUGAUGCGAAAAAAACCGAUAACAUGUUGCAAUCGACAUCAAAAAAAUUAUGUAACAAAAACAGCAAAAUCAAAAGCAAGAAACGAAUGAUUUUCACAUAAAAACAGAUAUGGUAAUUGGGGUCGAAGAAUCAAUAUCAACAUCUUUCGAUCCAUUGAUCAAAAUUUUCAUGACAAUUCGUGAAUAAAUCACCAUUAAAAACAUAAAAGAACAGAUAUAGAAGAGCAAAUCACCUGUACUUUUUCCAUCUUUAAUCAUUGUCUCUUGUUUUUUUUUUGAGAUUUAC